rnacentral:lncRNA from 1 species
CAUGAGAAAGACUGUCGCCAAACCCGUCGCAUCUAGCAGCCCAUGGUACGGCCCAGACCGUGUUAAGUACUUGGGUCCAUUCUCCGGUGAGUCCCCAAGCUACUUGACCGGUGAAUUCCCCGGUGAUUACGGGUGGGAUACUGCUGGACUUUCAGCAGACCCAGAAACCUUUGCCAAGAACCGUGAACUCGAGGUGAUCCACUGCAGAUGGGCUAUGCUUGGUGCUCUUGGAUGUGUCUUCCCCGAGCUCUUGGCCCGUAAUGGUGUCAAGUUUGGCGAGGCUGUGUGGUUCAAGGCUGGAUCCCAAAUCUUUAGCGAGGGUGGACUUGACUACUUGGGCAACCCAAGCUUGGUCCAUGCACAAAGCAUCUUGGCCAUCUGGGCUUGCCAAGUUAUCUUGAUGGGAGCCGUUGAGGGUUACCGUGUUGCUGGUGGGCCUCUUGGUGAGGUUGUCGACCCACUCUACCCUGGUGGCAGCUUUGACCCACUGGGCCUCGCUGAGGACCCAGAGGCAUUUGCUGAGCUCAAGGUAAAGGAGAUUAAGAACGGAAGACUUGCCAUGUUCUCUAUGUUCGGAUUCUUUGUUCAGGCCAUUGUUACUGGAAAAGGUCCAUUGGAGAACCUUGCUGACCAUCUUGCAGACCCAGUUAACAACAAUGCUUGGGCAUACGCCACAAACUUUGUCCCCGGAAAGUGAAUCUUAAAACAUUCUCAAAAUUCUGAUUGUUUGAUGGCCUUGUAAAGCUGUCGUGCGUUACCUGAUAAUAUAAUGAGAUUUUGUUUGUGUUUAAAUGACUGUUUAUUUCUGAGUUUCAUACCCAUUAAUCAAACAGCCACAAAAAAAAAAAAAAAAGAACACAGGAAAAAAGGCCUAAUGACC